CGGCCGCGUCGACGGCGACGAUCGGUAGCUGGUCUGAGAGGACGAUCAGCCACACUGGGAUUGAGACACGGCCCAGACUCCUACGGGAGGCAGCAGUGGGGAAUUUUUCCGCAAUGGGCGAAAGCCUGACGGGGCAAGACCGCUGGGGGGGAGAGCUCGUUGGUUACGUUAACCCUUUCUCGUGGACGACAGUGGCGAGGUGCGUGGCAGACGUAGGUUGACGGUCCGAGNGUCGGUGGGGCAGACGGCUACUUCCCGUGGUACGUAACCUUUGGUUGGUCUAUUUAGGCGUACCUUCCAGAGAGCUCGACCCGUAAGUCGGUGGGCGACGAGCACAGGAGGUAGUG
rnacentral:rRNA from 1 species